AACCUUUACAAUGCGCGAAAGCGUGAUAAGGCUACUCAAAGUGCUCAUGCUUUGCAUGGGCUUUUGCCAAGAGUAAAGAUCUUGGCGAAUAAGGGGUGGGUAAGACGGGUGCCAGCCGCCGCGGUAACCCCCGCGCCCCAAGUGGCACUCACAAUUAUUGGGCCUUAAGCGUUCGUAGCCGGUUUUGUAAGUUCUAGGUGAAACUGUUCUGCUCAACAGAACAGCGUGCCUGGAAUACUGCAAGACUUGGGACCGGGAGGCGUCAGAGGUAUUCCGGGGGGAACGGUAAAAUGUUAUAAUCCCCGGAGGACCACCUGUGGCGAAGGCGUCUGACGAGAACGGGUCCGACGGUGAGGGACGAAAGCUAGGGGAGCGAUCGGG
rnacentral:rRNA from 1 species